UGGGAUUGGGAGUGUACUGUUUUCAUUACUGCACCCCUUCCCCUAAAGACAACGGGACUGCCCUCCUCCGCAGCGCCUUACCUCAAACAGGGGACCGAUCUUGUUCUUCUCCAGGUUGGACACCUAAUUUGCACAUCAAGACUGCCAUGGACCAUGGUGCAAUGAAGGUGAAGACUGGAGCACUCAUCACCCACGGUGGGAUCCCAAGGACUCUCCACUCUACUGAGGGAAUACCACCAGUCUACCACUGGGUCUCACUUUGUUGCCCAGGCUGGAGUAUAGUGCCCUGAUCACAGCUUGCUGCAACCUCAAGCUCCCAUGCUCAAGCAAGCUUCCUGCCUCAACUUCCCAAGUAGCUGAGACCACAGGCAUGCUCCAUGACACCUGAACUCCUGAACUCAAGUGAUCCUCCUGCCUCAGCCUUCCAAAGUGCUGGGAUUACAGGCAUGAGCCCCUGAACCCUGCCUACCCUCUGUUUCUAUGUGGUAUUUGUCUUUCUAAGCCUGGCCUAUUUCGUGUAACAUAAUUUCCUCCAGAUUUAUCCAUAUUGUCUCAAAUGACCAGCUUUCUUUCUUUUUUAAGGCUGAAUAGUAUUCCAUUGUGCAUACAUACUACAUUUUAUUUAUCCAUUCAUCUGUUGAUGGACACUUAGGUUGAUUCCAUAUCUUGGCUAUUGUGAAUAAGCUGCAAUGAAUAUAGGAGUGCAGAUACUGCUUUGACAUAUUCAUUUCAUUUUCUUUGGAUAUGUAUCCAGAAGUGGAAUUGGGCUGGAAUAUAGGCAGUUAUAUUUUUAAUAUUUUG
rnacentral:lncRNA from 1 species